UACGUAGGGGGCAAGCGUUGUCCGGAAUCAUUGGGCGUAAAGAGCGUGUAGGCGGCCAGAAAAGUCCGCUGUGAAAACUCGAGGCUCAACUUCGAGCUGUCGGUGGAAACUUUCUGGCUAGAGUUCGGUAGGGGAGACUGGAAUUCCUGGUGUAGCGGUGAAAUGCGCAGAUAUCAGGAGGAACACCGGUGGCGAAGGCGGGUCUCUGGGCCGAUACUGACGCUGAGGAGCGAAAGCGUGGGGAGCGAACAGG
rnacentral:rRNA from 1 species